rnacentral:rRNA from 1 species
AUUGAACGCUGGCGGCAGGCCUAACACAUGCCAGUCGAGCGGAUGAAGGGAGCUUGCUCCUGGAUUCAGCGGCGGACGGGUGAGUAAUGCCUAGGAAUCUGCCUGGUAGUGGGGGAUAACGUCCGGAAACGGGCGCUAAUACCGCAUACGUCCUGAGGGAGAAAGUGGGGGAUCUUCGGACCUCACGCUAUCAGAUGAGCCUAGGUCGGAUUAGCUAGUUGGUGGGGUAAAGGCCUACCAAGGCGACGAUCCGUAACUGGUCUGAGAGGAUGAUCAGUCACAGUGGAAGUGAGACACGGACCAGCAUCCUAAGGGAGGCAGCAGUGGGGAAUAUUGGAGAAUGGGCGAACGCGUGAUGCAGCCAUGCCGCGUGUGUGAAGAAGGUCUUCGGAUUGUAAAGCACUUUAAGUUGGGAGGAAGGGCAGUAAGUUAAGACCUUGCUGUUUUGACGUUCCCAACAGAAUAAGCACCGGCUAACUCCGUG